rnacentral:rRNA from 1 species
ACGAAGGGAGCUAGCGUUGUUCGGAAUUACUGGGCGUAAAGGGCGCGUAGGCGGUUUAGUAAGUCAGAUGUGAAAGCCCUGGGCUUAACCCAGGAACUGCGUUUGAGACUACUAGACUUGAAUUUGGAAGAGGUAAGUGGAAUUCCCAGUGUAGAGGUGAAAUUCGUAGAGAUUGGGAAGAACAUCCGUGGCGAAGGCGGCUUACUGGACCAACAUUGACGCUGAGGCGCGAAAGCGUGGGGAGCAAACAG